GACUGUACAAAGGUAGCAUAAUCAUUUGUUUCUUAAUUGGAAACUGGUAUGAAUGGUUUGAUGAAAAAUAGUCUUUCUUUAUAUUAUAUAUAAAAUUUAUUUUUUAAGUUAAAACACUUAAAUAUUUAUAUAGGACGAGAAGACCCUAUAGAACUUUAAUAUACUAUAUAUUUAUAUAAUUUGGUUUAUAAUUAUAAAAUUAUAUAUUAUAUUUAUGUUGGGGUGAUGAAUAAAAUAUAAUAACUUUAUUUUAUUGUUUCAAUUAUUUUUGAAUAUAUGAUCCUUUAUUUAAGAUUAAAAGAUUAAGUUACCUUAGGGAUAACAGCGUUAUUAUUUUGGAGAGUUCUUAUCGAUGAAAUAGUUUGCGACCUCGAUGUUGGAUUAAAAUAAGUAUUAAAAGCAGAAUUUUAUAUACUAGGUCUGUUCGACCUUUAUAUUUUUACA
rnacentral:rRNA from 1 species